AAUGGCAGCCAAAGACAAUUAUUAUUAUUAUUAAUAUUACUAUUAGUAGUGAUACAUAAAAAGACUAUUAUGACAUAUACUAUCUGAGUCUAAUGAAUGCAUUGCAUUAAAAUUGUAAAAUGUGGCCUAUUUAUUUUUAAACUAAUUAUUAAUUAAUUAUUUUUUAUUUUAAUUGAUCACAAAUUAUUUUUAUUUUUAAAUUAUUUCAGUUUUACAUUCAUUUUUAUUAGCUGAUGUUUGUAAAUCAACUACGAUGCAACAAUGCCUGACAUGCCAGUCAGAGUUGAAAUCAUGAAUAUUCGCUGGCUUUAAUAAUCAAAGUCAAACGCUGAUCUGUGGUGUUCAAGUCUCGAUGGCACUAAAGCCAGGCAAACAUUCCUGCGAUAUCGACACGUUCACAUGUUUCCUGAGCCGCGGCUCUCAAUGUGAGGAAAGAACAAGCGAAUAUCACUCCGUCAGCUUUUCCUUCACGGGGAAAAAGCCUGCCAUUGUUCUCCCUCGUGUUUCCUCUGUGCAUUGUUUUGAUUUUGAAGCUUGAUUUUCUCCAUGAGAAAUGAGCUGAAUGAACGGCACGUUUAGAUGAUGUUUGAGAGAUUGAUGAACUCAAGAUGUUUUUGUGUGUUUGCAGAGAUCACGAGCACGUCAGCACCGGUAAUGCUGUCGACGGCCGUCACCGAGCGCAGGAUCCCCGCCGCUCCUCCGGUCCUCGCCGUCACAGAUGGUGAAGGUCGCUCGCGGGACGUCCCGAGUCAGACGGAGAUGAUGCUCAUCUACCAAUCAGCGGCCUGGAUUCUGGCCGGGAUCCUGCUGGCUGUGGUCAUCUUCCUCCUGGUGGCCGUCCUGGUGAACCGCAGGAAGAACUGGGUUCAGAUGUCCUGCUACGGCGCGCCCAAGAAGACGGUGAUCCUGCAGAAACACGUGAAUAAGAGUUCACUCGUCUACAUGGAGCCGUCCAGAGAGAACCAGUUCCAGAGCGUGAAGAGCGACGCCAGCGGAGAGCAAGUCUCCAUCCCGCGCGCUAAACUCUCCAGCGGACGCGUCCAGCGCUAGCGUCCGUCUCACAGCUCGUCUUCAGAGGCCAGAGACUCCACCGAACGCUGGCGACUCCUGGAGCUUCGGCCUCCAGCGCAAGAGGAACCAAGUACUGUGAACCUGCUUUAUUAGUGUUUGUAUGAUGUUCGGAGCGACACUUUGACGGACGUGGAGCAGUUCGGCGUCAAAGCAAACGUUCAGGAAGCAGACGGAGCUUCUGACCGCUCAGAGACAUCGGUGAGAUCCACACACACCACAGUAAAGAGAUCUGCAUCGGGACAGACGUGUUUCCUGACCUCUCCACUCUGUGUAUUCCUUUCUAUACCUUCAAGUGUUUUACUUGUAGUUUGUUGUUAGUCGCUUGUAAGGCCGGAAUAAACAUUCCCCACAUUCAGAACCAACUGGACUUUUUAUAUCUUUUUGAACAUAAUAUAUAGAUGAAUAUACAUAUAUAUGGUAAAUAUAAGAUGUAUUAAAUAUUUAUAAUAAAUAUAUAUGUAUUUACAUAAUAUAAAUAUUGUGUAUAUGGCCAUCAGUUUCACGUAUUUAUAUUUUAAAUACAUAUAUAAAAAAAUCUAUAUUAAAAAAUAAUGUUAUAUAUAAUGUCUGAGCCGCUCGCAGGGCAAUUACAGCGAAUGCAGUUGUUUGAUAAAUGUGCAAAAACCAUAAAAAUAGUAGAGGAAUGUAUCUUAUUUAUUUUUUCACAUUUAUUUAUUAAUACUAAACUCCAGUAAGUGUCUGGUUUCUGUCUGGUCUGUGAAACACAAAGCUGCUGUACAGAUUUUAUAAAGCGUCUGUCUGCUUUACAUCGGCUCUUAUUUAUUUGACCUUCGUCACAAGUCAAUAUGAUCCAACAGAUGUUCGGCUGUUACAUGUACACUUGUUUUUGAAAUAAAAAUGAAUUGUGUGACAAAUGUUUGACCUUAUAAUUGUGUUUGUGUCAUUUUGACCUGGAGAGGAUCUUCUUUUUCCUGAAAUGCCAUUAUUAUCAUAUUGGCCAUAACAAUUUAUAGCUCAUAAUCUGAUAAUUU
rnacentral:lncRNA from 1 species